CCCAGUCAAGAGAGGAGAACUCUGUGUGAGCUGGAAAGAAACUGUGUAUGUUGUGCUUUGAGAUUUUGUGGCCGAAACUCGGCCUCUUCAGAUUUUGUGGAAUAGAAAUGUGGAGCCAGAGUUUUGGGUGAAGGGGAAAAAAGACAGCUUUCCUGCUCUGCCAGACAAGACAAAGAUGGGUCACAGCAGGCUAGUGCCCUAAAGACUGUUCUUCCCCUGGUUUUUUUAGUUUGGGAGUGGAAAACAGCAGCAGGCCUCUGGGGCCCCGGGCUUGAAUGUAAAUGGAAGAGCCAUCGUCCACUUCACUGAUAGGCAGGAAAGCCAAACGAUUACUCUUAACCUUCUGCAACCAGCUUUUCCAGAGAAGGUCAAGGAACAAUAACUCCAAAGACAACUAGAAACCAUCCCCGGACCCACUGGUGCUGCCUUGAUGACUCUGAAAUGAUCUACGGACGAAGAACAAUACAGACACCUGCGUCAACAACCCUGUCUCCUGAGCUAAAGCUAUCACCUCCUUGCUAUCCCCUCGCAAGGAAAUAUCCAAAGGUGCUAAUUCCCUCCACUGUUCCUGUGUAAUGAAGGCUGUGAAAAUCACAAGAAGAGGGGAUGCAGCACUUUUCUUCUCACCUGAGAGGUAGCUCACUCAAGGAGCGUGGUCAUAUUGGAAGAAGAUGUGACAUGGUGGACUCCAACCUUUCUAGUUAUGCAUACACUACACCCCCAAUUUUUGAACUGGCACCCCCAGUUCAUAUGCCCUAGCAUUAUUGGUUAUUAUCUCAAAGCAACCAUUUAUGGGCAUUCAUCUGAUCAAUCUUUAUAUAAGUCCAAAUUGCAGGUAAACAUGAUCUUUUUUUGUGUGAUUUCUUGGUAGUUCUUGUUAGUGUGUAUAUGCAAAACUGCAUCACUUUGUUGUACAGUAGAAAUGAUCAAAACGUUGUAAAUCAGGUAUACUUCAAUCAAACUUUUUAAGGAGUUCCCGUCGUGGCGCAGUGGUUAACAAAUCCGACUAGGAA